rnacentral:rRNA from 1 species
AUUGAACGCUGGCGGCAUGCCUAACACAUGCAAGUCGAGCGGCAGCGGGAAAGUAGCUUGCUACUUUUGCCGGCGAGCGGCGGACGGGUGAGUAAUGCCUGGGAAAUUGCCCAGUCGAGGGGGAUAACAGUUGGAAACGACUGCUAAUACCGCAUACGCCCUACGGGGGAAAGCAGGGGACCUUCGGGCCUUGCGCGAUUGGAUAUGCCCAGGUGGGAUUAACUAGUUGGUGAGGUAAUGGCUCACCAAGGCGACGAUCCCUAGCUGGUCUGAGAGGAUGAUCAGCCACACUGGAACUGAGACACGGUCCAGACUCCUACGGGAGGCAGCAGUGGGGAAUAUUGCACAAUGGGGGAAACCCUGAUGCAGCCAUGCCGCGUGUGUGAAGAAGGCCUUCGGGUUGUAAAGCACUUUCAGCGAGGAGGAAAGGUUGAUGCCUAAUACGUAUCAACUGUGACGUUACUCGCAGAAGAAGCACCGGCUAACUCCGUGCCAGCCGCCGCGGUAA